rnacentral:snRNA from 1 species
GUGCUCACUUCGGCAGCAUGUAUACUAAAAUUGGAACAAUAGAGAGAAGAUUAGCAUGGCCCCUGCGCAAGGAUGACACGCAAAUUUGUGACGCGGUCCAUAUUUAA